AUGUUUUAGGAGAAAUUGUGAUUUUAUAAAAUGAUUUUAUAAAUUUUCUGAAAAAUCGAAUACUGGUUUUGAAAAUAGAGUAAUUGGAGACUGCCUACUUGUGUUGUAAAAUUAUGAUUUGAAUUAAAUGGCUUGUGAUAAAUUGGCAUGAUUGGCUGAAUUUAUACUUGUGUUGAAAAAUAUGAACUGUUUGUUUUGCCUUGAUAAAUUGGUUAGUAAUGUAAUUGCC
rnacentral:lncRNA from 1 species